UCACGAUGAACGCUGGCGGCGUGCCUAAUACAUGCAAGUCGAACGAGAACCCUUGGACUCGUCUGGGGGGGAGAGUGGCGAACUGGUGAGUAACACGUGGGUGACCUGCCCCGAAGACGGGGAUAACCGUUGGAAACGACGGCUAAUACCCGAUAUACUCGGUGAUUCGGUUCAUCGAGUAAAGGCUCCGGUGCUUCGGGAUGGGCCUGCGGCCUAUCAGCUAGUUGGUGGGGUAAUGGCCCACCAAGGCGAAGACGGGUAGGGGGCGUGAGAGCGCGGNCCCCCACACUGGCACUGAGAUACGGGCCAGACUUCUACGGAAGGCAGCAGUCGGGGAUAUUGCACAAUCGGCGAAAGCCGGAUGCAGCGACGCCGCGUGGGCGAUGAAGGCCUUCGGGUUGUAAAGCCCUUUUAUGGGGGAAGAGACAAGGACGGUACCCCAAGAAUAAGCGUCGGCUAACUACGUGCCAGCAGCCGCGGUAAAACGUAGGACGCAAGCGUUAUCCGGAUUUACUGGGCGUAAAGAGCGUUGAGGCGGUUCCGUAAGUUGGGCGUGAAAGCCCCGGGCUUAACCCGGGGAGGUCGUUCAAUACUACGGGACUUGAGGGCAGCAGAGGGAGGCGGAAUUCCCGGUGUAGCGGUGAAAAUGCGUAGAUAUCGGGAGGAACACCAGUGGCGAAGGCGGCCUCCUGGGCUGUUUCUGACGCUGAAGGCGAAAGCUGGGGGAGCGAACGGGAUUAGAAACCCCGGUAGUCCUAGCCGUAAACGAUGGAUGCUGGGUGUGGGGGGUAUAGAUCCCCUCCGUGCCGAAGCUAACGCGUUAAGCAUCCC
rnacentral:rRNA from 1 species